rnacentral:lncRNA from 1 species
AUGAUCUAUCAAGUACAGAAAAGCAUGUCUACUGAAAGUCUUUUAAUUUGUUCAAAUGCUUUCCAAAGGUGGAUGUUGAAGAUGGAUCGGUGUCUUUACAGGCCCCUGUAUCCAAUGAAACUUCCAAUAGCACCUCUCCUCAUGAAGAGGAUAAUCACAGUGAGACUGCUUCAUCUGGAUAUGCUUCAGUACAGGGAGCAGAUGAUCCACCUCUGGAGGAACAUGUGCAGUCAGCAAAUGAAAACCUACAGCUGGUAAACCAUGAAGCAAGUUCUGUGGCAGUGGAUGUAGUUCCUCAUGUUGACAACCCAACCUUUGAAGAAGAUGAAACUCCUCAUCAAGAGACUGCUGUUCAAGAAAUUAAAUCAUAAAAUCUGUGUCAAUAGAAAACUUGAAUCUUUAGUAAUAACAGAACUGCCAAUCAGGUCCUAGUUUACUAUUAAUGAAUUGGAUAAACAAUAAGAAUGAACCUGAAAGUGCUGAGAUGACUAAUAUUAUGCUAUAAUUAAAUGGCUUAAAUAUUUAACCUAUUAACUUUUUCCACAAACUUGUUAUGUUUUUCAUAGGCAAGUUGCCUCUCAAUGGUGAUAGCUCAAACAUUUUCAAACACUCAAAAGUCACUUCAAGUAGUCAUGUAUUUCAUUUACAACAAUUUUCUUUAAAAACAGUUGUUGCUUUUAAAAUGUGGAAUAGCUCUAAUCACUUUAUUUUAUGAUAGUAUCUUAAUUGAAAUACUACUACUUUAGCUUGGGCUAUAUGUGUCAGGGUUUUUCUCCAGGUGCUUAUAUUGAUCUGGAAUUGUAAUGUAAAAAGCAAUGCAAACUUAGGUUAGUACUUCAUGAAAUGUCUAUUUAAAGCUACAGUAAGUUGAUAGCACAAGAUUAAAGCAAAAUAUUCAUUUUAAACAUUUCUUAUUUUUAAAAUUAGGCUAAAUGUACUUCAUGUGAGUGUUGAACAUAGCUUAUCAGAGAAUAUGGACUGAAUCUAUUGGUAUAGUAGUGACACCAAUUUGACACAAGAUUAUGGAUAAAAAGGUUUCUUACAAAAUUGUGGUAGAACUAUUUCUCAAACUUUCCUUGUGAGAUUUUCAAAAGCACAGUAUAUAUAUUACCCUACUGUGUGAAAAUGAUAAUGAGAGAAGAAGUCAGUCAUGAAAAUUGGUCAUUGGUCUUGUGUAUGAAUUAGUCUGCAGGAAUUAGUCUAUAGAAAAUGUUAACAAAAAAUGUUGACUUUAAAAAUUGAGUUUACAUUUUACCUAAAUGGGCUAAAAUUACAUGAGAUAAACUAAAAUUCUGUCUAUGUAGCUAUAAAUUUUGUGAAUGCAUUUUCUUGGUGUUUGAAAAAGAGAUGGGGGGCGGGGAGAAUUCCAGGUGCCUUAAUAUAAAGUUUGAAGCUUCAUCCACCAAAGUUAAAUAGAGCUAUUUUAAAAUGUACUUUAUUUGUAUUCCGUGUUGCUUAUCUUUUAUUUUAAAGUUUUGUUUCCUGUACAAAUUCUAGCAGAAUUUAAGGCAAAAACAGAACAGACAUGUAUUUUUGUCUGCUAAAUGUAGACUGGAUGAAACCAUUGCAUUCUUGUACACUGAUUUGAAGUGCUGUAAAUAUAUACUGAUUUGUAUUGAUUCUCUUUAAAUAUAAAAUGUAAAUAAAAUAUUCCAAUAAAAGUUUUUGUUUCUGGGG